rnacentral:lncRNA from 1 species
CGGGUAGGGUUUAUGGCUCCUCUAUCAGCGGGGUGAUCUGACCUGAAUGGUCAACCAUGCGGUAAAGGAAGCCCACAGCGUGGCAGCAGGAAUGGUCCUCAGGAAGAGUUGUGAAUCUUGGUUCUUCCUGGAAGAAACUGAAGUGGACUUUCCUCCUGUCUGAUACUUCUCUGUCUUCAAAAGUGGAAGCACUCAAAGCUACUCUAUCCAAGAGAGGGAGCUUCUGAAGUUUUGCCACUAAAUAAAAGGAAUACGUUCAAUUACACAGCUGUGAGAUUGUACCUGUUCCUGAGGGCAGGCUGCUCUCCUCUGAGAGCCUUCGAUCACCUUCCUGCUGGAUAUAACCACAAUUCAACUGAAGUGUCCUCAGGACUCUUCCCCCGGUGCCAGAUAAUUGUCUCUGCUUGUAGUGUUAAAAGAUGAUGUCCUUCUGCAGUUCUCAGGAGGGACAAGCUGGCCUGAGCAAGCAUUUUGGAAGAUUAGCCCUGAGCUAACUACUGCCAGUCCUCCUCUUUUUU